CAUGCAAGUCGAACGAUGAACCACUUCGGUGGGGAUUAGUGGCGAACGGGUGAGUAACACGUGGGCAAUCUGCCCUGCACUCUGGGACAAGCCCUGGAAACGGGGUCUAAUACCGGAUACUGACCCGCUUGGGCAUCCAAGCGGUUCGAAAGCUCCGGCGGUGCAGGAUGAGCCCGCGGCCUAUCAGCUUGUUGGUGAGGUAAUGGCUCACCAAGGCGACGACGGGUAGCCGGCCUGAGAGGGCGACCGGCCACACUGGGACUGAGACACGGCCCAGACUCCUACGGGAGGCAGCAGUGGGGAAUAUUGCACAAUGGGCGAAAGCCUGAUGCAGCGACGCCGCGUGAGGGAUGACGGCCUUCGGGUUGUAAACCUCUUUCAGCAGGGAAGAAGCGGAAGUGACGGUACCUGCAGAAGAAGCGCCGGCUAACUACGUGCCAGCAGCCGCGGUAAUACGUAGGGCGCGAGCGUUGUCCGGAAUUAUUGGGCGUAAAGAGCUCGUAGGCGGCUUGUCACGUCGGUUGUGAAAGCCCGGGGCUUAACCCCGGGUCUGCAGUCGAUACGGGCAGGCUAGAGUUCGGUAGGGGAGAUCGGAAUUCCUGGUGUAGCGGUGAAAUGCGCAGAUAUCAGGAGGAACACCGGUGGCGAAGGCGGAUCUCUGGGCCGAUACUGACGCUGAGGAGCGAAAGCGUGGGGAGCGAACAGGAUUAGAUACCCUGGUAGUCCACGCCGUAGACGGUGGGCACUAGGUGUGGGCGACAUUCCACGUCGUCCGUGCCGCAGCUAACGCAUU
rnacentral:rRNA from 1 species